rnacentral:lncRNA from 1 species
GCGCUGCCGUGGUUCAAGACGGGGGUGAUCCCGCCGGCGGGCACCUACAACUACUGGGCCGACUCCUACACGCUCUUCGUCUUCAACAUGGCGCUCAUGGGCUUCGCCGAGCACCGCCGCCUCCAGGACUGGUACAACCCGGGCUCCAUGGGCAAGCAGUACUUCCUCGGCCUCGAGAAGUUCCUCGCCGGCUCCGGCGACCCGUCCUACCCCGGCGGCCCACUCUUCAACCCGCUCGGCUUCGGCAAGACCGAGAAGGAGAUGAAUGAGCUCAAGCUCAAGGAGAUCAAGAACGGCAGGCUCGCCAUGCUCGCCAUCCUCGGCUACUUCAUCCAGGGG